GCACUGGGGCGUUGACCAAUCACUUCUCCAGGGCUUUGGGACGCGGCUGGGCCACGGUUCCCUCUGUUUUGUGGAUAGCGGGGGUUUGUUCAGGCCGAGCGGGCAGCAGGUUCCGGGCUUUUUGCCCCCCAUUCCCCUGGGCGGGCUCCUGCCCACCCAGGAGCGGAGGGAGGAAGGGAUCACGGGAGUCAGUGCUCGGGGUCAUUCUCCAAAGAACUUCUCAUCUUUCCCCUGCACAAGGAGGUGUCCGGGUUCGUGGUGUCUGGGACAGACGGGAACGCCACAACCGAUGCCCUGGCUCCGAACCCCCCAGAGAGAACACGGCAUUCGGCCUCGGGCCUCGGUGAAGCAUGACAAGCGUCACAGGCCGCUCCAGGUCGGUCAUUAGUGCAGAGUUUAUGUUUUCCCUUCUUGGAAGCAGGAGCCCUGAUGGGGAAGGGGGGGCUUUAAAGGCUUGCUAACCACGAGGGGACACUGCUAACCAGAGAAUCUCCCAGCAGGAUUCCUAGAGAAUCCCCCUCAGUGCGGGGAGUCGGCCCCCGGAGGCUGCCUGGGUCCAAGAGCCAGAGAGGGGAAAGGUGCUGACCCCAGGGCCAGGAGGGGCCCGGGCUGAAUCUUGAUCCUUCCCUGUGACCAAGAGGAAGCCACCGGCUCCAGCCUCAGGAACGUUCUCUAUUAAUACAGAAGCAGAAAGCGGAUGGCAUCAGCUGUCCGGGGCCGUCAUGAGGAUGGAACGCAGCAGUCGCGCAGCUAAACCGCCUGACUCGGCAGCUCCGGUCAGAGAGGCUCCCCGGGCUCCUGGGCUGGGGGAUUUAAAAAUAACUCUCUGCUGUGCCUGCAUUUUCCCGUUAGAUCCUCAUUUUUACAGCUGGAGAAACCGAGGCACAGAGAUCACCUAUGCCAAAUGUUGCUCCCGUUAUCAUUUACUCGCUGAGCCCGAACCGUGAGUCAGGCCCCGGCCAUGGCCUAAAGCAGCCUUUCUGAGGAGGGGGAGUGGGUUAGCAGGUAUAUUAAGGCAUGAUUUGUAUUCAGGCCAGUCCCGACUCUGAGAACAGGGUUCUGUCUACCAGCCACAACUGGAUGAGCGCUUACUCUUAAGUGAAGGAGUCGAGAGAGCUGGAUAUAAACUAAAAACCACUUGUUAAAGUCAUAAUUGCCCCGAGUCAUGGAUUCCUCCACCUCUCAGACCCACUGGUUGAGGGCAGUGAACCGGGUAAUGGGAACAUCCUCUGAAAGCCUGUGGACCAGUGACAGAAAGGCGAGACCUCGGCGAAGCCUUUGCCCCCUGGUCUGGGCAGGGAAGAGCUGACUUAGAUUUGCUGAAGCUGGAAGAAAAGCCAAGGCCUCUCCCCUGUGCAUGAGAUGGCCUUCGGGCCUGACUCUAGGGGGGCCGCCAUCUUUACUCUUGGGGUGACAAGGACUGCCCCAAAGGAGCCCAAGCUCCCCGAACUCUCCCUUGGAAAUCCCGUGGUUGCUCCUGGAAGGCAAAGCCUGGGUUGGUUCCUGGCACCUUUGUAAUGCCUGGCUCACAGUAGGACUCUUUACAAAUCCUUGUAGAAUGGAAGCGACAGCCUUGGCAGGAGAAGGACAGCGCGAGUCCAUCCAGCUGGAACGGAGCCGUGGAAACCACGGAUCUGGUAAUGUGGCUUCUACUCAGGUCAGCACUUCUUGAAAGGAAUUGAAAGAGUCAAAAGGCAGGCAGAGGGACACAGAGAGAAAUAGGAGAAUAAAAGCACAGAGAUACAGAGAAACAGAAAGAGAGGUUGUCACCCUGACCCCGGAUACCAAACAGUGAAGUAAAGGACAUAGUAAAGGACAGCAAAGAACAACUUCCUGGUGUGUGUGCUCAGUCGCCAGGGCCCGGCCCGGGUUCCUGCAGCCUUUAUAAGGGCAUGUACCGGCUCAUCGUCUCCUUUGGGCAACGAGGUCCUGGGGAAGCUGGCAUCCGGAACCCAGAGAGAUCUCUGCCCCCCACGGGGCCACAGAGGAAGGGUGGUCGAGGUGGCUCCAGGAGCUGGGCCGGCCCCUGUGAACCCAGAGUCGCUGCCCUUGGUCCCCAGCCCAGCUUCUGGGCUCCAGGCCAGCUCCUCCCAUGCACAAAGCUGCCGCUUUCCCCUUUUUGGGCGCAUCACUUUCUUCUCUUCUUUUCUUUGGCAAUUGGAGUUAAGUGACUUGCCCAGGGUCCCACAGCCAGGAAGUGUUAAGUGUCUGAGGCCAUAUCUGAACUCAGGUCCUCCUGACUUCAGGGCUGGGGCUCUAUCCACUGCACUACCAGCUGCCCCCAAGGACUCUUUCAACAUCAUGUCAACCCGUCCUUGCUCUCCUGGGUCAGUUGUUGGGCCAGUCACUCGAGUGCUCUGGUCUCAGUUUCUUCAUCUGAAAAAUGGGGAUCUAAUGACCUCUCACAGCUAUUCCCCUCCUACAUCUGUGAACUAGGAACCAGCCUCUGGACUUAGCAGCCUAGCGGGUCCUGCGAAAGAUGGAGACCCACAAGCCUGUGACUUAACUGCUGCCUUCAUGGAGCCCUCAGAAGUCUACCUGUGCACAGGUAGCCUGUGGCUAAGCUACGAUUAGACAAGCAAGAGCCCAGGAAGGAAGGCACUGCUGAGGGUGAGCCAGGCUCCCCAGUGAGCUGGCAGCAGUUGCUGGGGAUUCGCAUCCUCGGCCUCAUGAAUGGGCCCUGCUCUCAUCAAACCUCCCAAGGAGGAUUUACAGCGUGUCCUCCCUGCACCCUCCCCGCACCCUCCCCCCCGCCGCUGGCCGGCAGGGCCAGGAGAGCCAAACGCCCAGUUGUGCAGCAGCAUCUCCCAGGGCCAGACCAGGUGACCAGGAGGGCAGAGAAAAGAGAAGCCCGUCUGAAAGGUGUUUGUGUUCCCCAUUGAGUGAUCCCCAGGGCGUUUAUGGCACCAAUCUUCUCUCUUGCGGCUCCGGGAGGCCCGUCCCUGGCCGGACAGAUGCCCAGUGUGUGUCUGAGACAGGGUUUCACCUCACCCUCCCCAGCCUCCCCUGUCCGGGCCCACAGACUCUGUGGGGCCCACCCUGGAAGCCCGGGCCUGAGGCCACUUUCCUCACAGCCUUUCUGGUCUCUUACCGCAUCAGAGAAUCCCUGGCCGCUCUGAGGGUAGCCCCGCCACCAGGAGACCGAGGGACGGAGGUCAGGCUCCUAGAGAGGCUGGGCCCAGAAGAGCCACCCAGGGCCCGGAGGCACCGGAUCCAAGUCUGUGUCCCUUUGUUUGUCAACCGGAGUUGCCUCCCUGAAGGCGGGGACUGUGGUUCUUAGAGUGAACCUCAAUGUUCUCAUCCCUUGAACAGAUUCUCUCUCAGGGUCACUGCCAGUCACAGCGUUUUAUGACCGAUUCUUUCUUAAUGCACUUACUUGUUCCCGGUGCCUGGUACAGCGCUUUAUACUGUUUUAACAGAACCUGGUUUCAUUGCUAUGGGAAUUUCCAGCAGGGAUCCUCCCCCUACUAAGAUGAAUUCUCGACCAAUGGGAGUCUCAGUGAGUGGUUUUGGGUAUCAACAGGCCCUUCCGACUUUCUCACGAAGCUCACCCAACCGGGAUCCGAGACAGGGCUGCAAGAGAAAUCUCCCCAGUUACGAGCUGUGUCUGUGUCCUCCCCACUGGACUCUCUCCCCAAUGGGGGACACAUGCUUACUAAUACUCCCUGACUCGAGAUCUGCCCUUGCUGUCCAGCAGGGAAACAACAUGGUGGCCCCACGGACCAAAGCGAGCAAAGCGGCUGGUAGUCCUGCCGCCCUCCACCCUGUCGGACACUUCUAAAGACCUGGGCCCGGUUGUUCCCCAGUGAAGGAAGGAAAUGGUCCCACUGAGGAAAGAGAGAGUCAGGGUUUUCAUAAGGAGCAGGGGAUGGAGAGACUGGAGAAGAGAAGGACUGAGCAGGAGCCUCCCGGCAGCCACUGGGCGUUUGCAGAGCUGUCCCGGGGAGGAGGGCUAGACCCCAAAGGUGGAAGCUGCAGAGACAAAGUUAGUCCCUCCAUCAGAAAUAGCUCCCUAAUGUUAUUGUUCUGUAAGAAAUGAUCAGUUGGAGAAGCUUGGAGAGACUGACAGGAACUGAAGCUGAGGGAAGGGAGAAGAACCAGGAGAUCAUUGUACGCGGCAACAACAAGCCUGUGCGAGGAUCAAUUCUGAUGGACGUGGCUCUUUUCAACAAUGAGAUGAUUCAGGCCGAUCCAAUGAUCUUGUGAUGGAGAGAGCCAGCUGCACCCAAAGAGAGACUGCGGGGACUGAGUGUGGAGCACAACAUAGUAUUUUUACUCUUUUUGUUGUUUGUUGCUUGCAUUUUGUUUUAUUUCUCUCUCUUUUUUUGAUCUGAUUUGUCUUGUGCAGGAAGAUAAUUGUGGGAAUAUGUGAAGAAAAACUGCAUGUUUACCAUAUAUUGGAUUACCUGCCAUCUAGGGGAGGAGGUGGGGCAAGAAGGAAAGAAAACUGGGAACACAAGUUUUUGCAAUAUCCACAUAUGGACACUGCAUCCAUACACAGGUAUAAACAUACCAAUCUAUACCUAAGCCAUCCAG
rnacentral:lncRNA from 1 species